UGGAAACCCAUUUCAUGAAGCUCCUGACGAACAGUUCUAUCUGCUGACGUUGCUUCCAGAGGCAGUUUGGAACUCGGUAGUGAGGGUUGUAACCGAGGACAGAUGAUUUUUACGUUCUACGGGCUUCAGAAGUCGGCGAUCCCAUUCUACCAUGUUGGCUGCUCAGGCCAUGAUGCCACCCUAUCAUGUGACGGCCCCUCGAUCCCAGCCAACCAGAGCCUCAACAAGUCUUUCUGUGUACAACUGUUUCAGGGCCAGAGGACCAAGCUCAGGUGACAGAGAAAGGAUGGGAGUGACGCCACUCCACUUUGCCGACAGAGGUGUAUCUGCAUAUGACCACAGGUGCAUGCUGGGUAGGAAACAACAGACCGAUACCACCACUGUGACAGCAUGACGAUCUGGUUCUAAGGCCAGCAGCGUGAGGAUGCUGAUAUCAGCGGAAUCUGGACCUGAACCUUAUCUGGAAUAACCAAAACAUGUCCCAAAGAGCUUCUCUGGGCCCUCAAAAUAGAUUAUUCGUCAAUGCGACAAACUUUUAUUACAUUGUAGCCCUCCCCAUUUCUCAAGGUGGUUCACUGUUCUUUUGAGAUUCAUUGUGAAAAUAGUAACUUUUUUGUUGUUGUUGUGUAAUGACAAACCACAAACAGGUAUCACAGUUACAUACUACACACAAAGUACUACUUAGAAUUGUACAUCUACACUGUAAUUACACUAACCACCUGCUUAUGUAACUACUAUGUAAAUACAUGGUUUUCAUGGCACUUAACAUGAAGUGGUACAAACACCUCUCCCACUUUUCCCAGGGGACUGAAACUGAGGUCCUGCUUUUUGUAACCUCUCUCUUUUCUUUGGCAGUAUGUCGUCAAUGACUUUCAUAGAGUCUGGACUGUGGAGCUGAGAAAGCUGACUUUUGAGGACCAGUUGGAAACCAUCCACGAACACUUUGACAGAAGUGUGAUGUAGUCAAAAUGUUCAGCAGUUGACCAGAUAUAUUUAUGUUCUUGGUCAGGGGUACUCAACUCUUACCCUACAAAGUCCGGAGCCUGCUGGUUUUCUGUUCUACCUGAUAAUGAAUUGCACACACCUGGUGUCCCAGGUUUAAAUCAGUCCCUGAUUGGGGGGAACAAUGAAGAAAUGCAGUGGAACUGGCUUAGAGGUCCAGAGUUGAGUUUGAGGGUUCUAGGUCAAUAACAUGGUCAAUAGAAGAGUAUUAGGUAAGGGUUGCAACAGUAGUGAAACCCUCCACAUAGGAAGGCCUAGGGACAGACUUCAAAUAUCUCUGCUCUAAAGCUUCUCAUAAAGCUUCCACCCCAGACAGACACUCCUCCCCCUGCGCCCUCCUCCAUCCUCCACCCUCAAACCCUCUGCUUCCUGUGUCUGGGAUGCCCCACCACACUAGCUCCUCCCUACCCUGGCAGGUGACAUAGAAGCUCCCAGCAAUCAGCCUAUUCCCAGUGCCAUGAUGUCAGUCUCUCCAAAGCUAUGUGAAGGUAAACAAAGGAAAUGGGAAGCAUAGAAAGCAGGUGCUGGUCAGCUGCUGAGGAGUCUGGACCUUGUUUACCAGUGAAAAAUGGCAAUGGCGCUGCAAAAACGGGUAUUAUAAUGUAUUUAAAUGACCUAUCAAACUAAUCUUAAGGCUUAUCCAGAAGGCCAUUAAUAUUAAUGUUUUUCAACUAACGUUUCCAUCUUAAAAUAAUCAGUAACCAAUCAUGCUUUCUAAUCUGUCAAUAAAAGAAUAUAGCUAACUCCAGAUGACUAAAUGUAAUAACUUGAGCAGUAAAUUCUAAAUUCUUGCAACUGAAGUACUGAUCAUGCUCAUAGAAACAUACUGUUAUGUCAAAGAUUUGAUGUGACCCCAACAUUUGAAAAAGUGAAACAUGGCCUUUGUUCAUAUUUCCUUGAAAGCUGUACACCACCAGGGUACAAAGAUUUUCUUAGGGUCAUUUGUGACCCGGCAGUUAAAAUCAUUUACACAACACACACACAAUAUGAGUAAUUGAGAUUGUGUGCUACUGAUUGAACUUAGCCAGCAGCUCCUGAAGAGGAAGAUCACCAUGGUUGGCAUAGUUAGAAAGAACAAGCAUGAGCUCCCUCCUGCACUCCUCGCAACAAGGGGGAGUGAGGCCUUCUCAUCAAACGUUUGCCUUCACCCCACUACCACUCUAGUUUCUUACCUCCCAAAGAGGAACAAGAAUGUGGUCCUCCUGAGCACACUGCACAAAACGGCUGAGAUCAGCGAUCGUGAGGACAGGAAGCCAGCCAUCAUCCUGGACUACAACCACAAAAAAGGAGACGUGGACAACCUGGAUAAGGUGAUUGGGACUUACAGCUGCAGGAGGAUGACUGCCCACUGGUCCCUGGUCAUGUUCCAUAACAUCAUUGAUGUGUCCUUAUACAAUGCCUUCGUGAUAUGGAACAGGAUCGACCCUACCUGGAUGCCUGAUAAGCGGAACAAGAGGGUGUUUUUCCUGGAACAGCUGGGAAAGGCACUUGUAACCCCACACAUUCAAAGGGAGCCUCUGCAGCGCUUGUGAAAACUGUUCAGGGGGC